UAUAUUUUAGGAUUAGCCACAUCUAUUAAAAUAAAUGAAAUGAUAUAUAUCUCAAUAUUUGCAAUGUUUUUUGGGUUUUUACAUCUCUAUUUGUUUUUACCAAGUUACUUAGUAUCUUUGAUGUUUUCCCUACAAGUGAUAACAUUUUUUUUAAUUACUUUUGUAAUACGUAUAGCCAUAUAUUACUAUGCUAAUAGAAUAGUUUAUAUUAAACGUCAACCAUUACGUGCUUUGGAUAAUAUGAACCCUUGCUUCCAUGAAUUAGAAAAAAAAGCCAUUUCUAUCAAAAAUAAGUUUAUUUAUUAUCAACAGAAUAACAUGUGUCAGGAUAUGUUAGGGAACAACUCAUCUGAAUCUAAAGGAAAAGAUUGCGUAGAUGAAAUUACGUUUUCAAAUAAAAUUAAACCAAAAUUAAGUAAUCAAUUUUCCGAUUUAAACUAUGUUAAAUUUAAAAAUUCUUUUGAUAAUGGUGACAUAAUUUAUUCUAGUGCUGAAUAUAUUUAUUUAGAUACAGGAAUACCUUCUAGUGAAAAUAAAAUAGUUUUGCCCCAUGUUGAUAAAACGAAUAAGAAUAAGCAAGAGCUUAAUUCUAAUCAUCCCAUCGAAAUAAAUAAAAAUAAUACAAGAAUUAAUAAUGGUGACAUAAAAGAAAAUUAUAGUGUACAUGGUAAAAGGUUUACUACUAAUAAUCACAUAGAUGGGAAUAGUAUUAUUGAAAGCGUGAAUCAUGAUAAUAAUAAUAAUAAUAAUAAUGAUAAUAAUAAUGAUAAUAGUAAUAAUAAUAAUAAUAAUAAUAAUGGUAAUAGUAAUAAUAAUAAUAAUAAUGAUAAUAAUGAUAAUAGUAAUAAUAAUAAUAAUAAUAAUAAAAAGGUUGGUUUUACUAUAACUAUGAAUAAAUUAAAUGAUGAUGACAAUGAUAUUUAUAAGAAUCGCAUAAGUCCAAAACACACAAAUACAAUUACUGAGCCAAACAUAAAAAGUUUUACUUCUAAAUUUUAUACUACUAGUUUUAAUAACAAAACAGAAAUUAAACAAACGGAAAGCUUGCGUAGAUAUCAGUCUGAAAGUAUAUACCAAAAGAAAACAUUUCAAAAAGAUUUUCUUUUAAUACUUGAUGACAUGAUCAACAUGAAUAUACAACAUAACAUACUAAUAUCUGACACAUUAAAUAAUAAUAUUGCUUAUGUUUUUUUUGAUAGAAAUGGAUAUGUCCGAAAAUCUAAAAUAAUACCAUCAUAUGUAUUUGAUAAACAUGAUUUAAGUAAUAUUUCAUCAUAUUUAAAAAAUGAUACACAUUUAAAGAUGGAUAGAUAUUACAAAGUUUUUAGUCUCCUACAUAAUAAUCAUAAACCAAGUAAUUGUGAUAAUAACGAAAAAACAAAUUUAUACGAUUGUUUAUUAAAAAGCGAAACAGCUAACAUGCUGCCUGAACCAGUUACCACCAAACUACCUGAAAAAAAAAAAUACCCAUUAAACAACAAUCACAGUAAAGCAUCUGUUUUAAAUACCAGUCAAUUACUAUCAUUUCAAAGCACAAGAACAAUGAAAUAUAUUUUUAACAAUUUUUCAAUGAGCGAUAAUCACGAUAAUAAUAAUGGUAAUAAUAAUGGUAAUAAUAAUGGUAAUAAUAAUGGUAAUAAUAAUAGUGAUAUUUAUGAAAAUGGUAAAUUUGGUAGUCUCGAUAGUGAUAGUCAAUUUGGUAAUAGUAGUAGAAAUAAUAAAUAUAAUUUAAACGGAAUAAAAGAAAAUGGUGAAAUUACUACAAGAGUAUUUUAUCUUAUAGAUUCUACUUUGGAAAAAGAAGAAGAAGAAGAAGAAGAAGAAGAAGAAGAAGAAGAAGAAGAAGAAGAAGAAGAAGAAAAAGAGCAAAACAAAAAUUCAUUUAACAAUAAUAAUUCAGAUCAAGAAAAAACCAAAAGUAAAAAAGUUCCUAAUGGUUUUUAUUUUUUACCUACAACAAUUAAUAAAAAAAAAACAGUAAAUGUAAAAACUAAUUUUAAAUUUGAUGUAAAUUCAAUAAAUACUAACAAAAAAAGUAAAAACUAUACUGUAAACUCUUCAGAUGAAUCAUCUAUUAAUGUCUCAUCUGAUGAUAAUAUUGUUUAUGUUGAUGACAAUUCGUACAAUUCUGUCUAUACACAUAGUACUGAUGAUACUUACGAUGAAAGUAUAACCGACGGAGAUAUUGCAGAUGUGUUCGAUAAUCAUAUAUCUACAAAAUCAAAAAAAAACUCUCUCGAAAAAAACAAAUCAAGAAAUAAUUUUGCAUCAAAUAAAAAUAUAUCAAAAAAAAUGGUUUCUUUUAAUUUUACCUCCUCCAAAAAAAAUAUAAAAUUAAAUGAAGAGAAGAAUUUUUUUUUAAAUUUUAAAUUAAAGAAAAAAAUCUACGAUUCAAAAAACGAUGGUCCAAGUGAGCAUAUUUUUUUAAAUGAUUCUAAAGAUGCAAUAUUAAAAGAAGAAAUUUCAAAAAUGAAAAAUGAUUUAUCAAAACGGGAUGAAAGUGACGGUUUUUCCCUAAGUCAGGAGUUUACAGAUUAUGAUAAUGAUAAAAAUAAAAAUAGUGAUAAAAAUAAAAAUAGUGAUAAAAAUAAAAAUAGUGAUAAAAAUAAAAAUAGUGAUAAAAAUAAAAAUAGUGAUAAAAAUAAAAAUAGUGAUAAAAAUAAAAAUAGUGAUAAAAAUAAAAAUAGUGAUAAAAAUAAAAAUAGUGAUAAAAAUAAAAAUAGUGAUAAAAAUAAAAAUAGUGAUAAAAAUAAAAAUA
ensembl:lncRNA